UCUGGCAUGUUCUCCUCCAACUUACCAAAAACCAGAAAGUAGAAUCUGAUCUUAGUUAAGUUCAAGAAUCACAGAUCACCGCCUCCACAGCGGGCCCGGCAGCACGUGCCAGGUCCUCCGACCGUCACCUGUGGGACCGCCAUGAGCCCUCUCCAGA